AGCUUUGCGCAGUGGCAGCAUCAUAGCCAUUGAGGCUUAGCUGAGCUGUGAUCAUUGCUAAUUAAAUUACAACUAGGGCCCGGGAUUUAGCUCAGGGAUUCUGCUGCAUGCCUCAUAAGUACAAAGUCCCGAGCUCGAUCCCCAGUACCAAAACAAAAUUAAUU
rnacentral:snRNA from 1 species